CACUUCAGGAAGUGCCAUCCA
rnacentral:miRNA from 1 species